rnacentral:rRNA from 1 species
UACGUAGGUGGCAAGCGUUGUCCGGAUUUACUGGGCGUAAAGGGUGCGUAGGCGGUUGUUUAAGUGAGAUGUGAAAUACCCGAGCUCAACUUGGGUGCUGCAUUUCAAACUGGAUAUCUAGAGUGCAGGAGAGGAAAGCGGAAUUCCUAGUGUAGCGGUGAAAUGCGUAGAGAUUAGGAAGAACACCAGUGGCGAAGGCGGCUUUCUGGACUGUAACUGACGCUGAGGCAUGAAAGCGUGGGGAGCAAACAGG